rnacentral:rRNA from 1 species
GGGAAUUAAGGGUCUAUACAUGCAGUCGACGAACUCUGGGUAUUGAUUGGUGCUUGCAUCAUGAUUUACAUUUGAGUGAGUGGCGAACUGGUGAGUAACACGUGGGAAACCUGCCCAGAAGCGGGGGAUAACACCUGGAAACAGAUGCUAAUACCGCAUAACAACUUGGACCGCAUGGUCCGAGCUUGAAAGAUGGCUUCGGCUAUCACUUUUGGAUGGUCCCGCGGCGUAUUAGCUAGAUGGUGGGGUAACGGCUCACCAUGGCAAUGAUACGUAGCCGACCUGAGAGGGUAAUCGGCCACAUUGGGACUGAGACACGGCCCAAACUCCUACGGGAGGCAGCAGUAGGGAAUCUUCCACAAUGGACGAAAGUCUGAUGGAGCAACGCCGCGUGAGUGAAGAAGGGUUUCGGCUCGUAAAACUCUGUUGUUAAAGAAGAACAUAUCUGAGAGUAACUGUUCAGGUAUUGACGGUAUUUAACCAGAAAGCCACGGCUAACUACGUGCCAGCAGCCGCGGUAAUACGUAGGUGGCAAGCGUUGUCCGGAUUUAUUGGGCGUAAAGCGAGCGCAGGCGGUUUUUUAAGUCUGAUGUGAAAGCCUUCGGCUCAACCGAAGAAGUGCAUCGGAAACUGGGAAACUUGAGUGCAGAAGAGGACAGUGGAACUCCAUGUGUAGCGGUGAAAUGCGUAGAUAUAUGGAAGAACACCAGUGGCGAAGGCGGCUGUCUGGUCUGUAACUGACGCUGAGGCUCGAAAGUAUGGGUAGCAAACAGGAUUAGAUACCCUGGUAGUCCAUACCGUAAACGAUGAAUGCUAAGUGUUGGAGGGUUUCCGCCCUUCAGUGCUGCAGCUAACGCAUUAAGCAUUCCGCCUGGGGGAGUACGGCCGCAAGGCUGAAACUCAAAGGAAUUGACGGGGGGCCCGCACAAGCGGUGGAGCAUGUGGUUUAAUUCGAAGCUACGCGAAGAACCUUACCAGGUCUUGACAUACUAUGCAAAUCUAAGAGAUUAGACGUUUCCCUUCGGGGACAUGGAUACAGGGUGGUGCAUGAUUGUCGUCAGCUCGUGUCGUGAGAUGUUGGGGUUUAAGUCCCUGCAACGAGCGCAACCCGUUUAUUUAAUCAGGGUGCCUAGCAUUUAAGGUUGGGUCACUCUGUGAGACUGGACUGAUGACAAACCGAAGGAAGCUUGGAGCAAUGC